rnacentral:tRNA from 1 species
CGGAUGUAGCCAAGUGGACCCAGGGCAG